rnacentral:rRNA from 1 species
AACCUAAAAAGUUCCCUGAGCACAAAAGUUUGGUCCUAGCUUUAAAGUCAGCUUUUUCUUAAUUUACACAUGCAAGUCUCUCCCCCCCCGUGAGGAUCCAUCGCUCUCCCCAGAGAGUUAACGGAAAUGAUAUCAGGCACAAUAAUUUGCCCAAAACAUCUAAUACAUGUCACACCCAUAAGGGUUACAGCAGUGAUUAAUAUUGAAUAUAAGUGCCAACUUGAUUCAGUCAGAGCAAGACAGGGCCGGCCAAACUAGUGCCAGCAGCCGCGGUUACACUAGAAGCCCAAGUUGACUCCUAUCGGCGUAGAGCGUGGUUAAAGAUCCAAUAAAAUUGGGGCCAAAUGAGAACUUAGCGGUAAUAUGCUUGUUCUCAAGAAGACCACAAACGAAAGUUACUCCAACUACUAUAACUUGAACCCACGAUAGCCGGAACACAAACUAGGAUUAGAUACCCUACUAUGUCCAGCCUUAAACCUUAAAUUACACCCCAUAC